rnacentral:rRNA from 1 species
CGGUAGCUUCAGUGCACCAGGCAAGGUGAAGGAAGGGAAGUUCAGCUGGGUCGGGCCUGGUUGGUGUUUGGAUGGGUGACCACUAGGAAAUGCCAGAAAUCUGCCGU